rnacentral:snoRNA from 1 species
GAGCUCGGUGAUGUUACACAAAACACUUUCGUUCUACCAAUUAGACACCCGUCUGUGUGGAAAAGUUUUUGGAGACCUGAACUGAGAGCUU